GCCUAUGCGAACCCAACUAGUCACGGCAGGGAAGUCGCAACACGUACCGCCGUAUGACCAACUGAAAGUGUCCGGAACGCGUUGUUUCAAGCGAACACAGAAACACCGGGAUAAAUGCCUGUGUGAUCCACGAGAAAGACAAAUUAACAUGCAGCGUAAUCUUUACCUAAUAAUAAAGAGAACUGGGUUCAUCGAUGAGGGCGCGAGGAGGAAGCGCUCGAGUGGUGAGAUGGGAUCUGGGGAAGCUCAGGCUGCGCUGCUUGGAAACGUCUCUAGAUGGGGUGGGUGAGUUUUCUUAGGCUUGUGCUAAAAUUUCAGAAUCCAAUUAAUAGUCCCAAAUUGCUUUUUAAAAUCAAAGUCUACCAAUUUAUGUAUGUUCAUGCGUUACAGGAUCAACAAGCCAACAGAAAAAGGAUGAGAUAUGGUUCAUGUUUACCCUACAGAGAAAUAAAGAGAGGUGUCUGCCCGCAUGUAUUUAAUGCAUCAGCAAUCAAAAAUUAGCGAAGAGGAGAGGCGGAUGAAUAAAAAAAAAAGCAUCAGCCAUGUGCCCAGCCUGCUAAUUUGCCAUAUUGAUUCAUACGGAUGGUUAUCUUACAGGUUAUCUUACAGAGAUCUUCUCACGAAGAGAAAUAAGUGGGGGAUUUUCACCGGAGGCAGAUUCAGCAGCCCCACAUCUAGGGCGACCCGCCAGUCCCCGCGCAUGCUGGCCGACCGCCAGAUCUGGCGCGCAACCGAGCCACUGCACACUGGCCCCGCAAGCCCCCGUUGCCCCCAGCCACCCACCGGGAGAGGGGCUCCGCCACGCACAGGGACUCCGCCCCGGCCCCGUGAGCCGAUGAGCAGGCCGUCACCGCCCCAGCCGCCGUAGUAGCAAACACAGCGACGCCACGCUGCCAGCCGGGAAGUGGCUCGCCAGCCAGCGCGGACGACAAGAGGAGAGCAGCGCUUGGGUGGUGAGAUGGAUGGAGAAGUGGAGGAGGAGCAGCUUUGGGUGGGUGAGGUAGCAGGAGGAGGAAGAUGGAGGCGGAGCGACGCCUGGGUGAUGAGCUGAGCAAUGGCGAUGUGUUGUGGUCUUGUGGAUAAGGGGGACGCAGUGGGCGGUGAUAGCGCUUUCGGUGGGGAUAUAUGGUGC
rnacentral:rRNA from 1 species